UGCCACUACUCCACGACCUUACUCCCAAGCUUCCUAAGGCACAAAAAGAAAUUACAGAACUGUGUAACUCCUCCAUUUUCUUCCCCUCUUUCUCUUCCUGAGGUGAAUCCGUGUGUAACUCCUCCAUUUCCUUCCCCUAUUUCUCUUCUUGAGGCGAAUCCGAGUGUUACAACGUUCUCCGACGUUUCUUAACGGAAAUCACCAGGUAAAUUAUUGAGAAUUUAAAUUCAUAUUUUUCUGUGAAUUUAAAGAUAAAUUAAGCACUAAAGCCCUAAAUUAAUUCAAUUUAUUAUUUUUCUAAAAAUUGCCGUCUGGGAGGUUGGUGGAUCGGCGGCGAGGUCGUCUCCGGUGCUUCUCUAGGCGAGAGCUCUGGUUUAGAUCUCUCCUUACACCUUCUAGGCCCUCGGCAUCGCCCUUUCCAUUGUCAUCUCCGUCCUCAACGUCGCCUGGGGAAUUUAUAUUACUAGGAAUAGUUUGAUUAGUGCGGCAAUCAAAGCUCCUAGAAUCACCUCCAAAAAUCUCAUCAGGAACAAUGAGUCAAGAACAUCAUCCUAAUUUGGGUCGAGGAGAGCUCUUUGAAGUAUGACCGAGCAUUCGAGUUUUCCGUAUAUGAACUCCUUAGACUACAACUAGUGUUAAGUAUUUAGUUUAUUCCGAACUUUUAGUUUAGAUAUAUAUCCAAACUUUUAGUUUAGAUUUAUAUCCAAAAUUUUAGUUUAAUUCUAAACUUUUUGCAUACGAUGUUAGAGUGACAUGUAUGAAUUUACAUUUAUUUUAUUUUAUUGUAUUUGGAUAAAUAUGUACUUGUUAUUCAAAAUUGUUUUUUAUGUCCAA